AACGAACGCUGGCGGCAGGCUUAACACAUGCAAGUCGAACGCACCGCAAGGUGAGUGGCAGACGGGUGAGUAACGCGUGGGAACGUGCCCUUUUGUUCGGAAUAACCCAGGGAAACUUGGGCUAAUACCGGAUACGCCCUUCGGGGGAAAGGUUUACCGCAGGAGGAGCGGCCCGCGUCCGAUUAGCUAGUUGGUGUGGUAAUGGCGCACCAAGGCGACGAUCGGUAGCUGGUCUGAGAGGAUGGCCAGCCACAUUGGGACUGAGACACGGCCCAAACUCCUACGGGAGGCAGCAGUGGGGAAUAUUGGACAAUGGGCGCAAGCCUGAUCCAGCCAUGCCGCGUGAGUGAUGACGGCCUUAGGGUUGUAAAGCUCUUUCGCGCACGACGAUAAUGACGGUAGUGCGAGAAGAAGCCCCGGCUAACUUCGUGCCAGCCGCCGCCGUAAUAC
rnacentral:rRNA from 1 species